UGAUCCAGCCAUGCCGCGUGAGUGAAGAAGGCCUUCGGGUUGUAAAGCUCUUUCGGCCGGGAAGAAAUCGCAUAGGCUAAUACCCUGUGUGGAUGACGGUACCGGAAUAAGAAGCACCGGCUAACUACGUGCCAGCAGCCGCGGUAAUACGUAGGGUGCGAGCGUUAAUCGGAAUUACUGGGCGUAAAGCGUGCGCAGGCGGUUUAGUAAGACAGGCGUGAAAUCCCCGGGGCUCAACCUGGGAACUGCGCUUGUGACUGCUAAGCUAGAGUACGGCAGAGGGGGGUGGAAUUCCACGUGUAGCAGUGAAAUGCGUAGAGAUGUGGAGGAACACCGAUGGCGAAGGCAGCCCCCUGGGCCGAUACUGACGCUCAUGCACGAAAGCGUGGGUAGCAAACAGGAUUAGAUACCCUGGUAGUCCACGCCCUAAACGAUGUCAACUAGGUGUUGGGAGGGUAAAACCUUUUAGUACCGGAGCUAACGCGUGAAGUUGACCGCCUGGGGAGUACGGCCGCAAGGUUAAAAACUCAAAGGAAUUGACGGGG
rnacentral:rRNA from 1 species